rnacentral:rRNA from 1 species
UAUGGAGCAAGCGUUAUCCGGAUUUACUGGGUGUAAAGGGAGUGUAGGAGGCAUCACAAGUCAGAAGUGAAAACCCGUGGCUCAACCGCGGGACUGCUUUUGAAACUGUGGAGCUGGAGUGCAGGAGAGGCAAGUGGAAUUCCUAGUGUAGCGGUGAAAUGCGUAGAUAUUAGGAGGAACACCAGUGGCGAAGGCGGCUUGCUGGACUGUAACUGACACUGAGGCUCGAAAGCGUGGGGAGCAAA